UACGUAGGGUGCGAGCGUUGCUCGGAAUCAUUGGGCGUAAAGCGCACGUAGGCGGCUUGUUAAGUCGGAUGUGAAAGCCCUCGGCUCAACCGAGGAAGUGCAUACGAAACUGGCGAGCUUGAAUAUGGAAGAGGGUCGCGGAAUUCCCGGUGUAGAGGUGAAAUUCGUAGAUAUCGGGAGGAACACCAGUGGCGAAGGCGGCGACCUGGGCCAAUAUUGACGCUGAGGUGCGAAAGCGUGGGGAGCAAACAGG
rnacentral:rRNA from 1 species